UACGAAGGGGGCUAGCGUUGCUCGGAAUCACUGGGCGUAAAGCGCUCGUAGGCGGAUUGCUAAGUCAGGGGUGAAAUCCUGGAGCUCAACUCCAGAACUGCCUUUGAUACUGGUGAUCUUGAGUCCGGGAGAGGUGAGUGGAACUGCGAGUGUAGAGGUGAAAUUCGUAGAUAUUCGCAAGAACACCAGUGGCGAAGGCGGCUCACUGGCCCGGUACUGACGCUGAGGUGCGAAAGCGUGGGUAGCAAACAGG
rnacentral:rRNA from 1 species